rnacentral:tRNA from 1 species
UAUAUUUUAGUAUAUGUGGUACAAAAAUUUUUGAAAUUUUAGGAAAUGGUUAAAUCCCAUUAAAUAUAA